AAAAAUCAGAGGUUAAACCUCCAGAACUACAGAUGUGACAGCAUUAAAGGGAAAUUCAUCACGCCCAAAGCUUUCAUUCCCAUAUAGUUUAGAAUCAGCCCAAACAUGAACCAAUGUUCUUUUUUCCCUUUCAUUCUCCAGGAGCACUGUGGCUCAGUUCCUUUUUGAUUUAUGAGUGUGGUUGUUGCUGAUGAGAUCUCCCAGGGAGACCUCAAUCUGCCCCAGCCAGAGGCUUGGAAAACAGUGGAGGAUCUUCUUGCUCAACCCCCUUUCUGUUGCUUUCAGGGGAUUCCAUCCAGGGCUAGGGCUAUCCAUCAAUUCAUUUGACAAUGGGCAUGUAUGAGGUGAGGGCUGUGCGGGUACAAGCUCUGUAGUGUCACCUGCCGGCAGGGGGCACAAUAGGGCAGAGCAGCAAAACGAAGGCAGUGUAUGUUACAAACGAGCUACUCUGAGCUCAAAUCAGUGCACCUGGGGGAAUAAUUAAAUGAAAGACAGCAAAUCAUCAUAAAGGCUGGGGAAUUUGAGUAGCAGGGAAAACCUGUUGGGCAGCAAUCAAUUUAGGUCUCAUACAGUAUCUUUUCCUUGCUUAAUGCCAAAGAGUUCCACUGCAGCUGCCAGAGGUAUUUUACAGGGCCAAGAGGAGAUAGCAGGGAUCAGCAUAGUGCAUUGACUUCUUCAAGAAGAGCUCCUUCUUCUGAAGUCCAUCUGUCGUACAGGUGUGGGCAGCUGCAGCCUGAAGCAGAAAUGGGACUAGCAACUGGGAAGUCCUGUGUGAUUGGCGAAGAACGUUUCUGAGUGUCAUGGACCCUAGGCAAUAGCAGACAGUGUGAGAAUUCUCUGCAAUUAACAUAUUUGCAUAAAUAUUAGGAAGAGGCCUGAUUAGCACA
rnacentral:lncRNA from 1 species